rnacentral:sRNA from 1 species
GCUGGAUUCGACAUCAUAGUCACGAGCUUAACAGUUCUUGUUUCUUACACCUUCAUUCUCUCCAGCAUCCUCGGCAUCAGCACCACAGAGGGGAGAUCCAAAGCCUUCAGCACCUGCAGCUCCCACCUUGCAGCCGUGGGAAUGUUCUAUGGAUCAACUGCAUUCAUGUACUUAAAACCCUCCACAAUCAGUUCCUUGACCCAGGAGAAUGUGGCCUCUGUGUUCUACACCACGGUAAUCCCCAUGUUGAAUCCCCUAAUCUACAGCCUGAGGAACAAGGAAGUAAAGGCUGCCGUGCAGAAAACGCUGAGGGGUUGUCUCUGCACUGCCAUGCUCAUCAGAAUCUUGUUGCUUGUGCACAUGGCUGCAGACCCUAUGAUCUCAGAAGCCCUGCUGCCAACAAAAUGGGCAAGUUCAUAGCUGUGGGCUUGCCGCUGCUGCUGAUGUCCCUGGCCCAGGAGUUUUCCAGUGUGUUGCUGCCACUACCCGGUGCAGCAGGGGUAGACUACACUACCUUAUUCCUCUCAUUGCAUGGGAUCUGGAGUAAGACAGCUACUCUUUCUGUUGGUACAGUAAGGCAAAAAAAAA